ensembl:miRNA MIR7978 microRNA 7978
UCUGGUGUAUAGCGUUGCUCAAGUCCUCUAUUUCUUUGAACAACAGUAUACACCAAAUA